GCGCCCGUACGCCAUCGGUGAGCGGCGGUCUUUAGGUGGCCGUGUAUGUCGGUUCGAAUCCGACCGGGCGUA
rnacentral:tRNA from 2 species